UACGUAGGGUGCAAGCGUUGUCCGGAUUUAUUGGGCGUAAAGAGCUCGUAGGCGGUUUCGUAAGUCGAGUGUGAAAAAUCUGGGCUCAACCCAGUGGAGCACUCGAUACUGCGAUGACUAGAGUACGGUAGAGGAGUGUGGAAUUCCUGGUGUAGCGGUGAAAUGCGCAGAUAUCAGGAGGAACACCGGUGGCGAAGGCGGUUCUCUGGGCAUUACCUGACGCUGAGGAGCGAAAGUGUGGGGAGCGAACAGG
rnacentral:rRNA from 1 species